rnacentral:tRNA from 1 species
GGAUGCUUAGCUCAGUUGGGAGAGCAACGCCCUUACAAGGCGUGGGUCGGCGGUUCGAGCCCGUCAGCAUCCACCA